UGGGGAAUAUUGGACAAUGGGCGCAAGCCUGAUCCAGCCAUGCCGCGUGAGUGAUGAAGGCCCUAGGGUUGUAAAAUUCUUUCACCGGGGACGAUAAUGACGGUACCCGGAGAAGAAGCCCCGGCUAACUUCGUGCCAGCAGCCGCGGUAAUACGAAGGGGGCUAGCGUUGCUCGGAAUUACUGGGCGUAAAGGGAGCGUAGGCGGACAUUUAAGUCAGGGGUGAAAUCCCGGGGCUCAACCUCGGAAUUGCCUUUGAUACUGGGUGUCUUGAGUAUGAGAGAGGUGUGUGGAACUCCGAGUGUAGAGGUGAAAUUCGUAGAUAUUCGGAGGAACACCAGUGGCGAAGGCGGCUCACUGGCUCGAUACUGACGCUGAGGUGCGAAAGCGUGGGGAGCAAACAGG
rnacentral:rRNA from 1 species